CAUGCAGUGGCACCAUAGUGACAAUCUGUAGCUCCUGUAUUGCAGGACAAGCAAAGUCCUGCAGCCGAACUACUGAUGUUAGUUGUAAGCUGCAGACCUUCUGGAUGUUGGUUAGCUCCUCCUCCAGCAGAGGGCACACUAGGAACUGGCUCACUUUCUGCACAGACCUUGUCAUAUCCAAAUCCACCACUGUCUUACUUCUCCACCCAUGCAGACUUCCACCCUGACCAAGGAGAGCCACAGACAAUCACAUUUAUCACCCUAUUUAAUGCACAGUCACCGACCACUUCUAUUCACCUACCAGAGAUGGAGUCUUACUAAGAGCAUACCAAGAGUCAUGCACUACUACUAUAUAUCCAACAUCUCUCAUGCAGGUGUCUCAACCAGCCAGCAGAGGCACACAACUACAGCAGCAGUGAGGAAUCUGUUCAGCCAUCACCCCCUCUGAGCCAAUCUUAUCUGCGUGGGUGCCCAUCUGGUCGAUACCACAGCUGAGAUUCAAGCAUGAGGUCUUAGUAAUGGUGUACAAGUGCAUUAGACCACUGCACUACAGCAAUGUUACUGUUACUAAAGAAGGUUUUUUGUUAUUAAAAACAGAAAGUUCUAAAAAGUUCAUAAACUUUUUAUACAACUGCAUGUUACAUGGUAAAAAGUGCAGCCACUUACAGAUAAAUAUUCUGAAGUAAAAGCAAUUAAGGAAAUAUUGAUCUUUAUCAUUUAAUGGAAAGGAAGCUCUGCGGUUAGAGAUAAGCAAUGUUUGCUCUGUGAGCCACUUUGCACUGUAAGAAAGUAAAGAUCAAGCAAUUAUCAUGUUAAACUCCUAUGUUCAGUUUUAUUGACACUGUUCCUAUAAUGACUUUACUUUGCUUUGUCAGGUAAGAAAGUCUAUAGCUGCGUCCGGAAUCGCAUACUUAGAGAGUACGUACUAGAUUGGAGGAAGUAUGCACUACUCUGCCGGUAAAAAAGUACAUACUUCCAGUACAGAAGUAUGCAGUAUGCACACAACACUGCUACGCACUACAUCCGCCAUCUUUCCAACGUCAAGUGAUGACGUGGGACGUAAUAUCACCAUGGUUACAGACUCAUUACAAACCCCACUCGCCAAACUUUUGGAUAUUUAUCGUGUUUUUGUUAUUUAUUCGUCUUUAAAACGUUUUAUUUUAUUUAUCUUACUUACACUUGUAAACAGAGGACCGCUAUCUUUCUUGUUUCUUAUUCCGCUUCGAACGCCUACGCAGCUCCAGUUGCAUUAUGGGAUACAUUAACGGACCGCAAGUGUGCAUCGCUUGCAUACUCAAACAUGGCUGCCCAAUAAGUAGGUCAUCCGGGUACUUCUCGCGUACCUCUUUGUGUAUACUAUGUAUUCGGACAUACUAACCGCUCUCGCGUCCUCAUUUCGCGUACUAUUGAGUAUGGAAGUAUGCGAUUCCGGACGCAGCUUGCAUGUACUUAAACACAGUUUUAUUGAUUUAGACAGCAAAAAAAAAACAAUGAUUUGCACAAAACACCCUUUAGCUAUAUUAAACAUGAGGUGGGUAGUAAUAUGCUACAUUCACUCUGCUGUAUUUAAUUUAGUUUAGUCAUAAGCAAAGGUUUGAACACCCCGAGGUAAAUUCCAUGUUCCGUGUCUUUUCUGAACCAAAAAAUAAU